rnacentral:rRNA from 1 species
GGGUUGUGAGGUUAAGCGACUAAGCGUACACGGUGGAUGCCCUGGCAGUCAGAGGCGAUGAAGGACGUGCUAAUCUGCGAAAAGCGUCGGUAAGGUGAUAUGAACCGUUAUAGCCGGCGAUGUCCGAAUGGGGAAACCCAGUGCAAUUCGUUGCACUAUCGUUAACUGAAUACAUAGGUUAACGAGGCGAACCGGGGGAACUGAAACAUCUAAGUACCCCGAGGAAAAGAAAUCAACCGAGAUUCCCCCAGUAGCGGCGAGCGAACGGGGAGCAGCCCAGAGUCUGAAUCAGCUUGUGUGUUAGUGGAACGGUCUGGAAAGUCCGACGGUACAGGGUGAUAGUCCCGUACACCAAAAUGCACAGGCUGUGAACUCGAAGAGUAGGGCGGGACACGUGGUAUCCUGUCUGAAUAUGGGGGGACCAUCCUCCAAGGCUAAAUACUCCUGACUGACCGAUAGUGAACCAGUACCGUGAGGGAAAGGCGAAAAGAACCCCGGCGAGGGGAGUGAAAAAGAACCUGAAACCGUGUACGUACAAGCAGUGGGAGCACCUUCGGGUGUGACUGCGUACCUUUUGUAUAAUGGGUCAGCGACUUAUAUUCUGUAGCAAGGUUAACCGUAUAGGGGAGCCGCAGGGAAACCGAGUCUUAACUGGGCGUUAAGUUGCAGGGUAUAGACCCGAAACCCGGUGAUCUAGCCAUGGGCAGGUUGAAGGUUGGGUAACACUAACUGGAGGACCGAACCGACUAAUGUUGAAAAAUUAGCGGAUGACUUGUGGCUGGGGGUGAAAGGCCAAUCAAACCGGGAGAUAGCUGGUUCUCCCCGAAAGCUAUUUAGGUAGCGCCUCGUGAACUCAUCUUCGGGGGUAGAGCACUGUUUCGGCUAGGGGGUCAUCCCGACUUACCAACCCGAUGCAAACUACGAAUACCGAAGAAUGUUAUCACGGGAGACACACGGCGGGUGCUAACGUCCGUCGUGAAGAGGGAAACAACCCAGACCGCCAGCUAAGGUCCCAAAGUCAUGGUUAAGUGGGAAACGAUGUGGGAAGGCACAGACAGCCAGGAUGUUGGCUUAGAAGCAGCCAUCAUUUAAAGAAAGCGUAAUAGCUCACUGGUCGAGUCGGCCUGCGCGGAAGAUGUAACGGGGCUAAACCAUGCACCGAAGCUGCGGCAGCGACACUAUGUGUUGUUGGGUAGGGGAGCGUUCUGUAAGCCUGCGAAGGUGUGCUGUGAGGCAUGCUGGAGGUAUCAGAAGUGCGAAUGCUGACAUAAGUAACGAUAAAGCGGGUGAAAAGCCCGCUCGCCGGAAGACCAAGGGUUCCUGUCCAACGUUAAUCGGGGCAGGGUGAGUCGACCCCUAAGGCGAGGCCGAAAGGCGUAGUCGAUGGGAAACAGGUUAAUAUUCCUGUACUUGGUGUUACUGCGAAGGGGGGACGGAGAAGGCUAUGUUAGCCGGGCGACGGUUGUCCCGGUUUAAGCAUGUAGGCUGGUUGUCCAGGCAAAUCCGGAUAAUCAAGGCUGAGGUGUGAUGACGAGGCACUACGGUGCUGAAGUAACAAAUGCCCUGCUUCCAGGAAAAGCCUCUAAGCAUCAGGUAACAUUAAAUCGUACCCCAAACCGACACAGGUGGUCAGGUAGAGAAUACCAAGGCGCUUGAGAGAACUCGGGUGAAGGAACUAGGCAAAAUGGUGCCGUAACUUCGGGAGAAGGCACGCUGGUGUGUAGGUGAAGCCCCUGCGGGUGGAGCUGAGACCAGUCGAAGAUACCAGCUGGCUGCAACUGUUUAUUAAAAACACAGCACUGUGCAAACACGAAAGUGGACGUAUACGGUGUGACGCCUGCCCGGUGCCGGAAGGUUAAUUGAUGGGGUUAUCCGUAAGGAGAAGCUCUUGAUCGAAGCCCCGGUAAACGGCGGCCGUAACUAUAACGGUCCUAAGGUAGCGAAAUUCCUUGUCGGGUAAGUUCCGACCUGCACGAAUGGCGUAAUGAUGGCCAGGCUGUCUCCACCCGAGACUCAGUGAAAUUGAACUCGCUGUGAAGAUGCAGUGUACCCGCGGCAAGACGGAAAGACCCCGUGAACCUUUACUAUAGCUUGACACUGAACAUUGAGCCUUGAUGUGUAGGAUAGGUGGGAGGCUUUGAAGCGUGGACGCCAGUCUGCGUGGAGCCAACCUUGAAAUACCACCCUUUAAUGUUUGAUGUUCUAACGUUGGCCCCUUAUCGGGGUUGCGGACAGUGUCUGGUGGGUAGUUUGACUGGGGCGGUCUCCUCCCAAAGCGUAACGGAGGAGCACGAAGGUUAGCUAAUCCUGGUCGGACAUCAGGAGGUUAGUGCAAUGGCAUAAGCUAGCUUGACUGCGAGCGUGACGGCGCGAGCAGGUGCGAAAGCAGGUCAUAGUGAUCCGGUGGUUCUGAAUGGAAGGGCCAUCGCUCAACGGAUAAAAGGUACUCCGGGGAUAACAGGCUGAUACCGCCCAAGAGUUCAUAUCGACGGCGGUGUUUGGCACCUCGAUGUCGGCUCAUCACAUCCUGGGGCUGAAGUAGGUCCCAAGGGUAUGGCUGUUCGCCAUUUAAAGUGGUACGCGAGCUGGGUUUAGAACGUCGUGAGACAGUUCGGUCCCUAUCUGCCGUGGGCGCUGGAGAAUUGAGGGGGGCUGCUCCUAGUACGAGAGGACCGGAGUGGACGCAUCACUGGUGUUCGGGUUGUCAUGCCAAUGGCACUGCCCGGUAGCUAAAUGCGGAAGAGAUAAGUGCUGAAAGCAUCUAAGCACGAAACUUGCCCCGAGAUGAGUUCUCCCUGAGACUUUAAGUCUCCUGAAGGAACGUUGAAGACGACGACGUUGAUAGGCCGGGUGUGUAAGCGCAGCGAUGCGUUGAGCUAACCGGUACUAAUGAACCGUGAGGCUUAACCUUACAACGCCGAAG